ACCCUUGACUCGCAGCUGGAGCUUUGAGAUGAUACCUCCAGACAUGUCUGAGCUGAGGGUGGUUCUUCUCGGAAACAGCUGGGCUCAGAGGUUGUUCGUGGGGAACGUUUUACUCAGUAAAGAAGUAUUCAAGAUGAGUUUUGUUCCAUCCUUCGCAAGAGUUAGUGCACCAUUGAAGGACAAAAAAUUAACAGUCAUCAACACACCGGACCUUCUCUGCCCUGACCUCACUGACCCACAGCUGACAGACCUGAUACAGGGCGUUGCUGAAGCCUCAAAGCCUGGGCCUCAUGUGUUCCUGCUGGUUCUUCAGCCUGAAGACUUUACCCAGCAGCAGCAGGAGCGGCUGCAGACUGUGCUCGAGACGUUCAGCGACCACUCCUUUGAUCAUUCAAUGCUGAUCACCACAGACAGAGAGGAGCCACAAGUGCUGGGUAUAUAAAUAACCAACCUUUAGAAAAAAUGAUCAGGAAAUGCAGAUACAGGCACAUGUGGCUGAAAGACUUUGAUGAAAAUGAAAUAAGACUGAAGAACUUUAAAAUUGCAGAGCUGUUUUCACGACUGUCCCAGACAGUUAAAGAAAAUCAAAGCGGCUUUCUAACUCAUGACAAAUAUGAAGAUACAAGCCCCUCUGUACCGGAAACAGAAGUUAGCCUCCUUGCAGAGGUUCAAAAAGCUGGACUGACGGGAGUGCACCCAACCAAGCAGGAAGCAAGCCUUAAAUGUUCUUAUGACCCUAUUAGGAUUCUGAUGUUUGGAAGAAGUGACGACAAAAAGAAAACAUUAAGUAAAUUCAUCACUGGGGCAAAGGAUGAUUUUACUAGCCCAAAAGUGGAAUGGAGUGGAAAGCAGAUAACUGUGGUGAAAACAUCAAACUUCUACAGUAUGUCUGCAGAGAAGAUGAGGCAGGAAAUAAGAAGAUGUGUGCGCCAGUGUUAUCCAGGGCCAAAUGUUCUGCUGCUGCUGGUGAAGCCUUCUGACUUCACUGAGGAAGACAGACAAACACUUAAGCUCAUCCUGACAUUGUUUGGUCCGAAAGCUUUUAAACACUGCAUUCUCAUCUUCACACACUGUGAGCAGAUGACUGUCUCUGCUAAUAAACUUCUUGUUGAUUGUGAAACAAGAUUCUAUCAAAUGCCUGAUGAAAAUCACAGUAGUUUAAUGGAGAAAAUUGGCAUCAUGGUCCAAAUAACAAUGGAUCCUUGUUACCUUUACUGA
rnacentral:lncRNA from 1 species